rnacentral:rRNA from 1 species
ACAAUGAAGAGUUUGAUCCUGGCUCAGGAUGAACGCUAGCUACAGGCUUAACACAUGCAAGUCGAGGGGCAGCAUGGUCUUAGCUUGCUAAGGCCGAUGGCGACCGGCGCACGGGUGAGUAACAC